rnacentral:rRNA from 1 species
AACGCUAGCUACAGGCUUAACACAUGCAAGUCGAGGGGUAGCAGGGUAGCAAUACCGCUGACGACCGGCGCACGGGUGAGUAACACGUAUCCAACCUUCCCAUAACUCGGGGAUAGCCUUUCGAAAGAAAGAUUAAUACCCGAUAGUACUUAAGAAAGGCAUCUUUUUUAAGUUAAAGAUUUAUUGGUUAUGGAUGGGGAUGCGUUCCAUUAGAUAGUUGGUGAGGUAACGGCUCACCAAGUCUUCGAUGGAUAGGGGUUCUGAGAGGAAGGUCCCCCACAUUGGUACUGAGACACGGACCAAACUCCUACGGGAGGCAGCAGUGAGGAAUAUUGGUCAAUGGGCGAGAGCCUGAACCAGCCAAGUAGCGUGAAGGAUGAAGGUCCUAUGGAUUGUAAACUUCUUUUAUAGUAGAAUAAAGUGAACCACGUGUGGUUUUUUGUAUGUAUACUAUGAAUAAGGAUCGGCUAACUCCGUGCCAGCAGCCGCGGUAAUACGGAGGAUCCGAGCGUUAUCCGGAUUUAUUGGGUUUAAAGGGUGCGUAGGCGGAAUAAUAAGUCAGUUGUGAAAGUUUGCGGCUCAACCGUAAAAUUGCAGUUGAUACUGUUGUUCUUGAGUGUACAUAAGGUAGGCGGAAUUCGUGGUGUAGCGGUGAAAUGCUUAGAUAUCACGAAGAACUCCGAUUG